rnacentral:rRNA from 1 species
GUCCUUUUGAAUAAUAUUAUUUAAGGUCUAACCUGCCCACUGAAUUGAAUUAAAUGGCCGCAGUAAAUUGACUGUGCAAAGGUAGCAUAAUCAAUAGUUUUUUAAUUAAAAGCUUGUAUGAAUGGUUGGACGAGAUAAAAGCUGUCUCUAAAUAAUAUAAAGAAAUUAAUUUUUAAGUUAAAAAGCUUAAAUAAUAUUAAAAGACGAGAAGACCCUAUAGAUCUUUAUAAUAAUUUUUAUAAUUUUAUUAAAGAUUAAUUUGUUUAUUAUAAAUUUUAUUAUUUUAUUGGGGUAAUAUAAAGAUUAAAAAAAUUCUUUAAUUUUAGAACAUUAAUUAAUGAUUUGUUGAUCCUUUAAUAAAGAUUAUAAGAUUAAGUUACCUUAGGGAUAACAGCGUAAUUUUUUUAGAGAGUUCUUAUCGAUAAAAAAGUUUGCGACCUCGAUGUUGGAUUAAAAAUUAUUUUAGGUGUAGUAGUUUAAAAUUUUGGUCUGUUCGACCAUUAAAUUUUU